CCUACGGGGCGCUGCAGUGGGGAAUAUUGGACAAUGGGCGAAAGCCUGAUCCAGCCAUGCCGCGUGUGUGAAGAAGGCCUUCGGGUUGUAAAGCACUUUCAGUGGGGAAGAAAGCCUUGGGGCUAAUACCCUCGAGGAAGGACAUCACCCACAGAAGAAGCACCGGCUAACUCCGUGCCAGCAGCCGCGGUAAUACGGAGGGUGCGAGCGUUAAUCGGAAUUACUGGGCGUAAAGCGCGCGUAGGCGGUCUGAUAAGCCGGUUGUGAAAGCCCCGGGCUCAACCUGGGAACGGCAUCCGGAACUGGCAGGCUAGAGUGCAGGAGAGGAAGGUAGAAUUCCCGGUGUAGCGGUGAAAUGCGUAGAGAUCGGGAGGAAUACCAGUGGCGAAGGCGGCCUUCUGGACUGACACUGACGCUGAGGUGCGAAAGCGUGGGUAGCAAACAGGAUUAGAUACCCUGGUAGUC
rnacentral:rRNA from 1 species